UAGAGCAGUGGAUUCAAGAGUUUUCAGCAGGCAGGGCUGCGUGAUGCGAUUCGGAUUCCAUAGCAACUUUGAGAGAUGGCUCUGGUUGCAGGGAGAACGAGCGAUGGUACAGAAGCAGAAGAGAAGCAGGGGCGAGUGAGAUGGGUGCAGGGACGACGGAGGAGGGGAGACUGGGAGAUACUGAGGUCGUGCUCCCAGGACCUGCCAGGGGUGAUGGGGAUGGAGGACUCCACCUAAGCUGCUGGCUUCCCACUUGCACAGGGAAUGUCUGAGAGAGCACAGCUGAAUACGUACAAGAGACCAGGUGAUCUGGUGGGAAUGUCCCUGAACUACUGGCAGGAGAUGAGAUUCAAACCAGAAAAACCAAACAGAAGGAACGAGGAGCUCUGUAUAGGCCAUCCCAUUGGCAGACACACACCCCGUGAAGACUGUUGUUGCUGUGGAGGUCAGAGAUCCCUUCCAGCCAGCUGCUGGAAUUGGGAUUCAGCAGAACUGAUUCCUGGCACUACCACGUCCUCCAUACUCUCAACAUUUUUUUUUUUUAGUUUUCAGGGAAGUCCAGUAAUAAAAAUAGUUCCUAUUUAUUGAGUACUUGCUAUGUGCCAGGGCCUAUGCUAAGUGCAUUGCACACCGUGAGUCCUCAACCCUUGAGAGGCGGGCACUGCCCCUUGUUCUGGAGCACGGCUUCUCCACAUUGCUCUUGACAAAUGGGGGAGCUGUCCUGCUCAUUGUCGGGUGUUCAGCAGCACCCCUGGCCUCCUCCCUCUAGGUACAAACCCAAAUGGAACAGCUACUCUAGACAAACUGAAGCCACAGCUUGCCUGAGGUCACAAAGCUAGCAGCUGAGCCGGCUGGGGACAUUUUUGCCCCAGGGAAGACGCUCUUAACCCCUAGGCUGCUUCUGCUGACCCAACUCUUUUGCAUAUGUGCUCUAAAUAGCUUUUGUUCACAGAGUUGAAAAGUCUAUUCUAAAAGUAACGUGAAUAUGUGCUUGCUGGAAAAUAAGUGUUAAACCACUCCUUUAAUAUUAGCAGUUUGACUGAUGUCUACAUUUUUUAGUUUUUUUGAGACGGAGUCUCUGUCACCCAGGCUGGAGUACAGUGGCACGAUUGUAGCUCACCACAGCCUCAACCUCCUGGGCUCAAGUGAUCCUCCCGCCUCAGCCUCCUAAGUAGCUGGGACUACAAGCCCACACCACCACGCUCAGCUAAUUUUUAUAAUUUUUGUAUUUCUUGUAGAGAUGGGGUUUCACCAUGUUGUCCAGAUUGGUCUCGAACUCCUGGGCUCCAGCCGUCCUUUUGCCUUGGCCUCCCAAAGUGCUGGGAUUCCAGGUGUGAGCCACCAUGUCCAGCCAUUGGCUGAUGUCCAGAUCUAUACCUGUAUACCUAUAUGCAUGCUUAGGAAAACAAAGGCAUAGUUUAAAAACCAUAAGUUGUCCUGUAAUUACUUUUGUUUUGUUUUGUUUUUUCUUAAUGUUUCUGGAGACCUCUUUUCCGUGAAUGAAGAGCUCCCUCAAAUAAAGCCCAGAUGUUACCUCCUUGGAGAAGAUUUGAUGAGCACCCAGUCUGAAAUGCCACCUCCCUGUCCCUGUCCCCCCUUACCCUGUUUUAUUGAUUCACAAUAUUCUCACUCUGAAUCGUACUAUAUUUUUAUUGUUCUUUGUUCAUUGGCUGUCAACCCCACUAAAAUAUAAUCCCCAUGAAGGCAGAGACUGUUUUGUUUUCUGCUCUAUCCCCAGAGCUAAGAACUGGUCUUAGCACAUAGUAGUUGCUCAAUAAAUAUUUGUUGCAUGAA